rnacentral:rRNA from 1 species
CGCGAAGAACCUUACCAGGCCUUGACAUGCAGAGAACUUUCCAGAGAUGGAUUGGUGCCUUCGGGAACUCUGACACAGGUGCUGCGUGGCUGUCGUCAGCUCGUGUCGUGAGAUGUUGGGUUAAGUCCCGCAACGAGCGCAACCCUUGCCUUUAGUUGCCAGCAGUUCGGCUGGGCACUCUAAAGGGACUGCCGGUGUUAAACCGGAGGAAGGUGGGGAUGACGUCAAGUCCUCAUGGCCUUUAUGACCAGGGCUACACACGUACUACAAUGGCCGAUACAAAGGGCAGCGACACUGCGAGGUGAAGCCAAUCCCGUAAAAUCGGUCUCAGUCCGGAUUGGAGUCUGCAACUCGACUCCAUGAAGUUGGAAUCGCUAGUAAUCGUGGAUCAGCAUGCCACGGUGAAUACGUUCCCGGGCCUU